UACGGAGGGUGCAAGCGUUAUCCGGAUUCACUGGGUUUAAAGGGUGCGUAGGCGGGCAGGUAAGUCAGUGGUGAAAUCCCCGAGCUUAACUUGGGAACUGCCGUUGAUACUAUCUGUCUUGAAUACUGUGGAGGUAAGCGGAAUAUGUCAUGUAGCGGUGAAAUGCUUAGAUAUGACAUAGAACACCUAUUGCGAAGGCAGCUUGCUACACAGUUAUUGACGCUGAGGCACGAAAGCGUGGGGAUCAAACAGG
rnacentral:rRNA from 1 species